rnacentral:rRNA from 1 species
UGGGGAAUAUUGGACAAUGGGCGAAAGCCUGAUCCAGCCAUGCCGCGUGUGUGAAGAAGGUCUUCGGAUUGUAAAGCACUUUAAGUUGGGAGGAAGGGCAUUAACCUAAUACGUUAGUGUUUUGACGUUACCGACAGAAUAAGCACCGGCUAACUCUGUGCCAGCAGCCGCGGUAAUACAGAGGGUGCAAGCGUUAAUCGGAAUUACUGGGCGUAAAGCGCGCGUAGGUGGUUUGUUAAGUUGGAUGUGAAAUCCCCGGGCUCAACCUGGGAACUGCAUUCAAAACUGACUGACUAGAGUAUGGUAGAGGGUGGUGGAAUUUCCUGUGUAGCGGUGAAAUGCGUAGAUAGAGGAAGGAACACCAGUGGCGAAGGCGACCACCUGGACUAAUACUGACACUGAGGUGCGAAAGCGUGGGGAGCGAACA